rnacentral:rRNA from 1 species
GUCCACAGCUGUAAACGAUGUGCACUAGGUGUGGGGUCGUUGACCCUUCCCGUGCCGUAGCUAACGCGAUAAGUGCACCGCCUGGGGAGUACGGUCGCAAGAUUAAAACUCAAAGGAAUUGACGGGGCCCGCACAAGCGGUGGAGUAUGUGGUUUAAUUCGACGCAACGCGCAGAACCUUACCUGGACUUGACAUCCCGAGAAUCUCUAUGAAAGUAGAGAGUGCCUCUUUACGGAGGAACUUGGAGACAGGUGCUGCAUGGCUGUCGU